rnacentral:rRNA from 1 species
CACGUAGUUAGCCGGUCCUUAUUCCCCACUUACCGUCAACCCCCAGAAAACUGGGAGCCUGCGUGAGUGGUAAAAGGAGUUUACAACCCGAAGGCCGUCAUCCCCCACGCGGCGUCGCUGCGUCAGGCUUUCGCCCAUUGCGCAAGAUUCCCCACUGCUGCCUCCCGCAGGAGUCUGGGCCGUGUCUCAGUCCCAGUGUGGCCGGUCACCCUCUCAGGCCGGCUACCCGUAAUCGCCUUGGUAGGCCUUUACCCCACCAACAAGCUGAUAGGCCGCGAGCCCAUCCCCAACCGAAAAAACUUUCCACCCUCCAGCAUGAGCCGGAGAGUCGUAUCCGGUAUUAGACGGCGUUUCCACCGCUUAUCCCGGAGUCAGGGGCAGGUUGCUCACGUGUUACUCACCCGUUCGCCGCUCGUGUACCCCGAAGGGCCUUACCGCUCGACUUGCAUGUGUUAAGCACGCCGCCAGCGUUCGUCCUGAGCCAGGAUCAAACUCU